rnacentral:misc_RNA from 1 species
GAUGAAGAACGUAGCGAAAUGCGAUACGUAAUGUGAAUUGCAGAAUUCAGUGAAUCAUCGAAUCUUUGAACGCAUAUUGCGCUCUCUGGUAUUCCGGAGAGCAUGCUUGUUUGAGUAUCAGUAAACACCUCAACUUCCAUAUCUUUUUUGAAAUGGGAGUUGGACUUGAGUGAUCCCAACGCUUUUCCUCACCGAAAAGUGGCGGGUUACUUGAAAUGCAGGUGCAGCUGGACUUUUCUCUGCGCUAUAAGCAUAUCUAUUUAGUCUGCCUAAAAAACAGAUUAUUACCUUUGCUGCAGCUAACAUAAAGGAGAUUAGUUCUUGUGCUGACUGAUGCAGGAUUCACAAAGACAGGCUUCGGCCGACUUUGUAAACUCGAUCUCAAAUCAAGUAAGACUACCCGCUGAACUUAAGCAUAUCAAUAAGCGGAGGA